UGGUGGUUUUCCUUGCUUCUGCCUGUGGGCACUGGAUUCGCGAGUGUGACCAGCGCGCGAGGCCACCAAUCCGCGCAUUGGCCGAGUGUGCGGUCACUCCAUUUCCGACUUUGCCGCGCUUUUUUACUUCUUGUAUUAAAUAUUUGUACCCUAUAUGCUCGAUACGUGGAGAGAAAAUUCAAUUUAACAACAUUUAUUCAUGCGUACACUUCAUAAAAUUUUACUAUUUCGAGUUAAUACUCUCUGCACUUAGGGUAUAUCUCAACAAGUUAACUGUGAAUUUGGAGAUUCCAAAAAGUCCUACAUAAAAUAGAAUCGAAGUUGCCA